rnacentral:rRNA from 1 species
UACAGAGGGUGCAAGCGUUAAUCGGAAUUACUGGGCGUAAAGGGCGCGUAGGUUGUUAUUUAAGUGAGCUGUGAAAGCCCCGGGCUUAACCUGGGAACUGCAGCUUAUACUGGGUAACUGGAGUGCAAUAGAGGGUAGUGGAAUUUCCGGUGUAGCGGUGAAAUGCGUAGAUAUCGGAAGGAACACCAGUGGCGAAGGCGGCUGCCUGGAUUGACACUGACACUGAGGCGCGAAAGCGUGGGUAGCAAGCAGG